AAGCUCUUUGUAUUGUCAGUGAUAAGAUUUGGUUUUUGUAAUCUCUUACAGCCACCAGCACAGUUUUGAAUGCAUUCAAGACCAGUGAAGUAUUUUUGCUUUUGUGAUGGUUUUUUUAUGAUUUUUGCUGGUACUCUGUUGGGAUCAAUCCUAGGUCCUCACACAUAAAUAAACCCCACUCUCCCUGAGUGACAGCCCAAACCUGUUUUUUAUAGUUUUGCCUUCUGGCUCCUUUUUUCCCAUAAAUCAUCAGAGGUGUUCCAUGAUUGGCUCCUGACUUUAUGCUGAAAAUCCCUUGGAGAAUCGAUUCUUUGGCGAUGAAAAAUGUACCUUGGAAGAUCUGAACGCAGUUAACGUUUUGUCCUUUGAAAACACUUGGCAUCCUUGUUUGUAUGUUGACUACAGAGGGAGGGAGGGUGGGAAGAUAUUUUUAGCCCUUCUUUCUAAGGAUCCAGGCCAGGACGUUCUCUGAGUAGCAAGGACUGGAAUCGGAGCUCCUCUCCACGGCUUGGUUCUGGUGCCUUAGCUUUUGGGAAUGUCAGCUUUUUAGGGGGCUGGAGAGAUGGUUCAGUGGUUAAGAGCACUGACUGCUCUUCCAGAGGUCCUGGAUUCGGAUCCCAGCAACCACACACAGCAGCUCACCACUAUCUGUAACUCCAGAUCCAGGGGAUCUGAUACCUCCACUCAUCUUAGCCUGGCUCCGAUACUUGUGAAUAGCUUCAUGAACCCGGGGAGGCUAGCUGGACAGCUGAGAGAAGCCAUGUCUGCAGCACGGGACAGGCCAAUGAUUCAGCCAGAGCCCUCCCUGUGGCUGGGAAGCCAGAGCCGACGGCUCGGUCUCUUGCUUCUGCUCCUGUCUCUCCUUGGCAUCACACGGACAGAGGUUCAACCACCCCAGCUGCCAAAGCAAGAUCCCACUCUGCAAGCCCUGAGCAGGAAGGAGAGUUUCUUAAUCCUCACCGCACACAACCGACUGCGCAGCCAGGUCCACCCUCCUGCAGCCAACAUGCAGAGAAUGGACUGGAGCGAGAGCCUGGCUCAGCUAGCUCAAGCCAGGGCAGCCCUUUGUGGCACUUCAGUCACCCCAAACCUGGCAUCUACCCCAGGGCACAACCCACAUGUGGGCUGGAAUGUGCAGCUAAUGCCCAUGGGCUCAGCAUCCUUUGUCGAAGUGGUCAACCUCUGGUUUGCUGAAGGGCUGCAGUACAGACAUGGGGAUGCUGAGUGUGCCCACAAUGCCACCUGUGCCCACUACACACAACUUGUGUGGGCCACCUCCAGCCAGCUGGGCUGUGGGCGGCAGCCAUGCUUUGUGGACCAGGAAGCCAUGGAAGCCUUUGUCUGUGCCUACUCCCCUGGAGGCAACUGGGAUAUAAACGGGAAGACAGUCGCCCCUUACAAGAAAGGCACCUGGUGCUCCCUCUGCACAGCCAGGGUCUCGGGCUGCUUCAAGGCCUGGGAUCACGCAGGGGGGCUCUGUGAGGUUCCCAGGAACCCAUGCCGCAUGAGCUGCCAAAAUCUCGGACAUCUCAACAUUACCACUUGUCGCUGUCACUGUCCACCUGGCUACACAGGGAGGUACUGCCAAGUGCGCUGCAGUGUACAGUGUGUGCACGGCCAAUUCCGGAAAGAAGAAUGUUCCUGUAUCUGUGAUGUCGGCUAUGGGGGAGCCCAGUGUGCCACCAAGGUGCACUUUCCUUUCCACACCUGUGACCUGAGGAUUGACGGAGACUGCUUCAUGGUGUCUCCCGAGGCAGACACCUACUAUGGAGCCAAGACGAAAUGUCAGGGAAAAGGUGGGGUGCUAGCCCAGAUCGAGAGCCAGAAAGUGCAAGACAUCCUUGCCUUCUACCUGGGCCGCCUGGAGACCACCAACGAGGUGACUGACAGUGACUUUGAGACCAAGAAUUUCUGGAUUGGCAUUAGGCAGCAGGCUUCUGGACUCUCAGAUAGUAGUCAACCUUGGCUACCCUGGUCCAGGGCUCACCUACAAGGCAGCUAAGGAUUCCUUCCGCUGGACUACUGGAGAACACCAGUCCUUCACCAGUUUUGCCUUCCGGCAGCCUGACAACCAGGGGUUUGGGAACUGUGUGGAAAUGCAGGCAUCUGCUGCCUUCAACUGGAAUGACCAACGUUGUAAAACUCGAAACCGUUAUAUCUGCCAGUUUGCUCAGAAGCACUAUUCCCGGUGGGAGCCAGGACCCCGAGCCUGGCCAAUCAGCUCUCCUGCCAGCCCCUGAAUGCACAAAUCAGUUUGCUGGACUUCUCACCCAUGUGAAACAAGUGCCUGGCUAGGACUAAAUGCCCAACCUCCCAAGCGGAGACCUUGCACAAUGCUGGACGCUGGGUAAGAUAGUAGUAUAGCCCAUGGGAAACAAAUAGAAAGUGGUACAAGAGCCUAGCAUGGGAAGAGAAGCGCCAGCGUCCUCAGCCUGCCUUUGAUGGGAAAGAGGGGCUCCCAUGGGUUCCUAAAGCAAAAGCCAGAGCCAGGAGCCAGUAGAAGCUGUUCUGCUCCAUCCAGACCAAACUCCUUCGGACAGCUGGAGUUUUCAGUGGCCUUUAGUUCCAGAUUAAAUGACGUUGUGAAUC